rnacentral:rRNA from 1 species
AUAACCGAGAGGGGGUUAACCCAGACUAGAGUUAAGGCCCCCAAAUGUAACCUAAGUGUCAAGCAAAAGGGAGUCCUCGACCUAAGACAGCAGGGAGGUAGGCUUAGAAGCAGCCACCCUUCAAAGAAAGCGUAACAGCUCACCUGCCGAGCUUGAGGGCCCCGAAAAUGGACGGGGCUAAAGCCUGCUGCCGAUACUCUGGGCCACUCUCAGUCGAGAGUGUGCGGUAGGUGGGCGUGGUGGCUGCGUAGACGCUGGGCCGUGAGGUCCAGUGGACCGGCUUCCAGUGCAGAUCCUGGUAGUAGUAGCAGCGUAGUCGGGUGAGAAUCCUGACCGCCGAAAGGACACGGUUUUCCUGGCAAUGCGUCAUCAGCCAGGAGUUAGCCGAUCCUAAGAACGAAACCAACGUAUUCGUUCGAACGAGGGAAUGCGGUUAAUAUUCCGCAGCCUUGGACAUUCCGAUGCCCCGCAAGGGGCGAUAUCGCAUCUGACGCUUCCGGAUA